GGAAAUACCUACUUACUCUAUCAUUCGACCCGAACCCACUCCACCACAGUUCUUUAGAUAAAAGAUAGAUACUAAUAAUUAACAAGGAUCCAUGAAUUUAAGUUGUGAAAUGCAUAUACAUAUAAUUAGUUAUUGGUUGCUGUUGUGAAAUGUACAUAUAAUUUAAGUUGUGAUCUGCAAUGUGUCAGGGAGUGGGAUCAAUUCUUUAUAUUGGUUGCUGUCAUACUGUCAUGUGCGGUUGUGGGUACGCACAAAAACGGAUGGAUUCACCUACUCUUGGUUUGAAUGGUUGAGGAAUCCAAGCUCCUGUAUUCAAGCGCUAUGAGGGGAUGGGCGGUAAUAGAGAUUGCAAUUUAAACCUAUUUAAGGAUUGCUCACAGUAUAGUUGCCAACAGCGCAUGGAGGAUUAGCAUGUCAUUCCCAUUCUGGUUUGACACUGUUUUUAUAUUUUGCUUCUGUUUUGUCAUGUAUUUCUUGUUCUCUUUCUCUCUUGAUGGUUCUAGUCUAUUCUAGUCCAUUUCUCAUUGUAUUUGGGUUAGCACCCCUUGUGCUAAAUUGAAUGCAAUAUUUUGGCUUAUAAAAAAAAAUGUGCGGUUGUGGGUUAUUUGCCUAUCUUUUCUUUUGCUGUUGUGAUGGGCCGUUGUUUCUAGCUUGUACGUAUGUGGGCUCUUAGUGAGUUACUAAGGGUGUUAAUUAUUCUGGUGAAAUAGUAUUCGGCUAUUUGCAGUAGGUGGUUUGGUUCAUUUUACCUGUGUGGUAGGUUUGGUUUUUUCUUCUGUAUUUUUUCUUUCUUUUUUUCUAUUGUAUUCGGUUGGGGCACCUCUUGUGCUCCCCAUUAAUAGACAUUUGGCUUAUCUAAAAAAAACAUAUAAUUAGUUAUAAAUUUAUAAUUAUUUUAAAAAAAAAUUAUAAAUUUAUAAUAUUAAAAACGUAGCAUAUUAUUAUCAUAAGAUUGAUAUAUUCUCACCGCUCCAUCAUUUUGCUUCCUUCAUUCUAAACUAAAA
rnacentral:lncRNA from 1 species